CACGUAGGCGGAUAUUUAAGUCAGGGGUGAAAUCCCAGAGCUCAACUCUGGAACUGCCUUUGAUACUGGGUAUCUUGAGUAUGGAAGAGGUAAGUGGAAUUCCGAGUGUAGAGGUGAAAUUCGUAGAUGUUCGGAGGAACACCAGUGGCGAAGGCGGCUUACUGGUCCAUUACUGACGCUGAGGUGCGAAAGCGUGGGGAGCAAACA
rnacentral:rRNA from 1 species